rnacentral:rRNA from 1 species
AAUAUGAGGCGGGCUGGACCUCUCGGGGUUACAGCCUUGCUGAAUUAUUCACCCUUGUCUUUUGCGUACUUCUUGUUUCCUUGGUGGGUUCGCCCACCACUAGGACAAACAUAAACCUUUUGUAAUUGCAAUCAGCGUCAGUAACAAAUUAAUAAUUACAACUUUCAACAACGGAUCUCUUGGUUCUGGCAUCGAUGAAGAACGCAGCGAAAUGCGAUAAGUAGUGUGAAUUGCAGAAUUCAGUGAAUCAUCGAAUCUUUGAACGCACAUUGCGCCCUUUGGUAUUCCAAAGGGCAUGCCUGUUCGAGCGUCAUUUGUACCCUCAAGCUUUGCUUGGUGUUGGGCGUCUUGUCUCUAGCUUUGCUGGAGACUCGCCUUAAAGUAAUUGGCAGCCGGCCUACUGGUUUCGGAGCGCAGCACAAGUCGCACUCUCUAUCAGCAAAGGUCUAGCAUCCAUUAAGCCUUUUUUUCAACUUUUGACCUCGGAUCAGGUAGGGAUACCCGCUGAACUUAAGCAUAUCAAUAAGCCGGAGGAAAUUAGGUUACUGUG